UACAGAGGUCUCAAGCGUUGUUCGGAUUCAUUGGGCGUAAAGGGUGCGUAGGCGGCGCGGUAAGUCGGGUGUGAAAUCUCGGGGCUUAACUCCGAAACUGCAUUCGAUACUGCCGUGCUCGAGGACUGGAGAGGAGACUGGAAUUUACGGUGUAGCGGUGAAAUGCGUAGAUAUCGGAAGGAAGACCAGUGGCGAAGGCGGGUCUCUGGACAGUUCCUGACGCUGAGGCACGAAGGCCAGGGGAGCAAACGGG
rnacentral:rRNA from 1 species